UAUAUAUUUUAUUUUUAAGUGAAACUACAGAUAUUGUGGGCGUGUUUGGUUUGCUUCUUUUUCACUCUAGAUUCAGAAUCGGAAUGGGUGAAUUCAUUUGUAGGUAUUUGGUACGCAGGAGUACCAUUUCGAUUCCGAUUUUCAAGUGAAAUUAGAAUCCCUCAAUCAUCUCUUUUUCCAAUCCAGCCUAAGAGGGCGGAUUGGAAGUUGAAUCCGGACGCAAUGGAUAUUUAUUCAGAUGAAAUUUAUUUUUUAAUUUUUUAACUAAAAAAAUAUGAGUUUAAAUUUAGAAAUUAAAUUUAUAAUUUUAAAUUUUAAUUUGAAUUUGAAUUUGAAUUAAAAAUUAAAAUUUAAUCAAGUAUUUCGAAUCUAACUUAUGAAUUUGAAUUUAAAUUAAAUUUUAAUUUAUAUAAAGUUUUAUUCAAAUUUUAUUUAAAACUUAAAUUAAAUUUAUAGAUUCAAAUUAAAAUUUAAAUUAUAAUUUUAAGUUUGAAUUUGAAUAAAUCAAAAUUUAGUUUUAUAUUUUGAAUUAUCCACUCAACUUCAAAAUUUAAUUUUUUUAAAAAAAGAUUUAAAAUUUUGACAUUAUUUCAAAAUUUUGAUGUAAAAUUUUAAUUUUUAAUUCUUAAUUUGAAUUUAAAUUAAUAUAAUAUAAAGAUAAAGUUAGUAUAUUAAUUUGAUUACGUUUUUUAUAUCUAUCUGAACCAAACACUGACAAUGAAAAUAAUUUAUUCCGAUUCCGAUUCAGAUAACAAACCAAACAGAAUUAGCUAAUGAGUCAUUCUGUUUCCGAUUCCAGCUUAUUUCGAUUUCGAUUCUGAUUCCGACUUCAAACCAAACGUGCCAUGUAUUUUAACGGACUCGAUAUGUGGAACAUUAUAAUAAUAUUAUAUAAGUAUGAACACAUAUGUGUAUAUUGAGUUGGACUGGACUACUAUUAGUAGCAAAAUCUCAUUGUUGCUACCAGUUUUUUAGCCUUUGGAUCAACUCUUUUCAUUAUUUCUAACCAUUGGAUUAAAUACUAUAACCCAGUGGGGACCACUCAACCUUAGGGGGACCACUCAACCUUAGGUGACCACUCAACUCUAACCGUGUGACGCUCCAACUUUCCAGGGGGUCACCCAUCCUAGGACUACUCUCGUCCUAGCACGCUUAACUCUCUUAACCUCUUGAGCCUUGCCACCACCCAAAAUGCUUAAGCCGGGUUAAGAGUUUAGCCCUAUUAUAUCUUAUAUAUAGGACUACCCGGGGUCUCACAAUCUCCCCCCCUUUACGCCCUGACGUCCUCGUCAGGCUCAGACUCACAAGUACCAGGCGAUGUGAGACUCGUCUCGCUAGCCCGUCAUCCAGACCCUGGCUCAGCCGAGACUCAUUUCACACUUCCGGCUGAUAAUUGGCUCUGAUACCAACUGUGACGCUCCAACUUCCCAGAGGGUCACCCAUCCUAGGACUACUCCCGUCCUAGCACGCUUAACUCUUUUAACCUCUUGGGCCUUGCCACCACCCAAAAUGCUUAAGCCGGGUUAAGAGUUUAGCCCUAUUAUAUCUUAUAUAUAGGACUACCCGGGGUCUCACAAUCUCCCCCCCUUUACGCCCUGACGUCCUCGUCAGGCUCAGACUCACAAGUACCAGGCGAUGUGAGACUCGUCUCGCUAGCCCGUCAUCCAGACCCUGGCUCAGCCGAGACUCAUUUCACACUUCCGGCUGAUAAUUGGCUCUGAUACCAACUGUGACGCUCCAACUUCCCAGAGGGUCACCCAUCCUAGGACUACUCCCGUCCUAGCACGCUUAACUCUUUUAACCUCUUGGGCCUUGCCACCACCCAAAAUGCUUAAGCCGGGUUAAGAGUUUGGCCCUAUUAUAUCUUAUAUAUAGGACUACCCGGGAUCUCACAAACCGACUAAUAUCAUCACGACCCUACAAUUUUUCAUCCAAUGAUUAAAAACUUGAUAGCAAAAAGAGUGUUUUACUAUUAAUAGUAUUCCAGCCUAAUUCGUGUAUAUUUUUUAUUUUUAAGUGAAACUACAUAUAUCAUAUCUUAACAAACUCUUUACAGUAUGUAGAACAUAACAUUAUAUUUGAACAAAACAAAUUUUAAAUUGUACGUUUUAAUGUAUAUAACGCAAUUAGUCUCAAAAC
rnacentral:lncRNA from 1 species